rnacentral:rRNA from 1 species
UACGUAGGGUCCGAGCGUUGUCCGGAAUUACUGGGCGUAAAGAGCUCGUAGGUGGUUUGUCGCGUUGUUCGUGAAAACUCACAGCUUAACUGUGGGCGUGCGGGCGAUACGGGCAGACUGGAGUACUGCAGGGGAGACUGGAAUUCCUGGUGUAGCGGUGGAAUGCGCAGAUAUCGGGAGGAACACCCGUGGCGAAGGCGGCUCUCUGGCCUGUAACUGACGCUGAGGCGCGAAAGCGUGGGGAGCAAACAGG